rnacentral:rRNA from 2 species
GGAUGACGCUGCCGUUACCAUGCACCUCGUUGCGCAGCACGGUGCUUCGGUCUGGUGGCGAGUGGCGAACGGGGGGAUCCCUCGUAUCGUGCCCUGGCGAGGGGGACACUAGAGAAAGAGAAGCUAAAACCGCAUACAACCUGAGGGUGAAAGCGGGGGACCGGUAACGGCCUCGCGCGACAGGAGCGGCCGAUGGCUGAUUAGCUAGUUGGUGGGGUAAAAGCCUACCGAGGCCACCAUCAUUAGCUGGUCUGAGAGGACGAUCAGCCGCCCUGGGACUGAGACCCGGCCCACACUCCUACGGGAGGCAGCAGUGGGGAAUUUUGGACAAUGGGGGCAACCCUGAUCCAGCAAUGCCGCGUGUGUGAAGAAGGCCUUCUGGUUGUAAAGCACUUUUGUCCGGAAAGAAAUGGCGCUGGUUAAUACCCGGCGUCCAUGACGGUACCGGAAGAAUAAGCACCGGUUAACUACGUGCCAGCUGCCGCGGUAAUACGUAGGGUGCGAGCGUUAAUCGGAAUUACUGGGCUUAAAGCGUGCGCGGGCGGUUUGAUAAGACAGGCGUGAAAUCCCCGACCUCAACUUGGGAAUGGCGCUUGUGACUGUCAGGCUAGAGUAUGUCAGACGGGGGAAGAAUUCCACGUGUAGCAGUGAAAUGCGUAGAGAUGUGGAGGAAUACCGAUGGCGAAGGCAGCCCCCUGGGACGUCACUGACGCUCAUGCACGAAAGCGUGUGGAGCAAACAGGACUAGAUACCCUGGUAGUCCACGCCUUAACGAUGUCUCUAGUUGUUGGGGAUUCAUUUUCUUCAGUAACGAAGCUAACGCGUGAAACA